CUUGACGGAGCCGAUCCACAGGGGACUGUCGUCGGAGCGGGCCCGUCCGUACGUGGCGAUGAGCGCCUGCGCCUC
rnacentral:antisense_RNA from 1 species